UGAGCAAUCUGCCUAGAUGUGGGGGAUAGCCGGCCCAACGGCCGGGUAAUACCGCAUACGCUCUCCUGGUGGCAUCACCGGGUGAGGAAACUUUCGAGGCGUCUAGAGGAGCUCGCGGCCUAUCAGCUAGUUGGUGAGGUAAUGGCUCACCAAGGCUUUGACGGGUAGCUGGUCUGAGAGGAUGGCCAGCCACAUUGGGACUGAGAUACGGCCCAGAUCCGUAACGGG
rnacentral:rRNA from 1 species